AGGCGUCAGGAACAAUUACACAAUUACAGGAGAUGCUGCCCUCAUGGUUGCAAGGUUGCUCUUUUGCUGCUCCAGUAAACACAGGUUUGAGCAACUGAUUUCAUGGUCAAGGCAACGUAUCCCACAUUGCUCUGAUGGAGAAUCGACAGGCCUGCUAGGAAAAGCAAGAGAUGGGCUCUUAAAAAGAUGACCUCGGUGAUGGAAGUAGGUUAGCCAAUUAGCAGUAAUUUUAUCUAGCUGCUCAACAUGUUAAGCUCUAAUCAUUACAAUGAUCAGGUUGGAUUAUUACAUCUUAUCUCUUGAAGACAAUGGGAGGGAAAUUAGUCCAAUUUUCAAACAUUGGUCUCAAGCAUCCUGCCUGAAAUUGAGCACAUUGGUACCAGAAAGAUACAACCAUAAGCACCUCUGUCCUUGCCUGAAAGUAGAUGUUUUCUCAGGAUGAUAUCCAUGCCUUCUAGUAUUCAAUUACUAAAGCAUCACAUAGUAAACACUCUACUCUCCCAUGACCUCCACAUAAUUCAAAUGUCAUUGAUUUUUUGUAGGUAGUUUAUUUGUUCAGCACUAUUGCCUGCCGGGAGAGACGACUUCACAAUUAUUUUACUCAUAUAGACUUUCCCCCCUGCUCACUGGACAUGUCUGCUUGUAGAAGCUCAUUCAUUAGACUGACUUUGUGGGAGGAGGUUUCUUCUGGCAUGCUUGCCUGUUGGGCAUUUCACAGGUGAAGCUUAGGCGUUGAGUGAAUGUGCCACCUUAAAGAAGCAAAUACUUAACAGAGCAAGAGAUCAGUUACGAAAAAUAAUCACAUUUCUUUCAGAUGAAUAGUGCCCAGUAUACAGACCUGCUUUCUCUAUGACCCUGGGUUAAUUUUCCAACCCACGCCCACCUUGUCUGGUCGCUAGAAAGUUUGAGAACAAAAUGUUCUAUGUGCAGAAUACAUAGCUAGCCUUGUGGGCAACUGCAGGCAGACCCCAGUCCAAAUGAAGGGGGAGACUGGGAACUAUGGGAAUGAAAAAGAAAUGUCCCAUUGAGGAAAAUGCUACUGUAUUGGAGGCUUUACCUGAUAGAUCCAUAGCGUUGAAUAAUGGAAAUCAAAAUGCUGAUGAAAAAAUAAUGAAGUAACUAAAUAAAGCCAAAAAUUGGGAAGCAAAAAAACAAACAAACCCCCAAACCCACCCCAUUUUAAACUGGCCACUUGGAAUGUUGAAGCUGGUUUCUAGAUCAGACCUAGUGAAAUGAUCAUUCAUGAAUUAUUUUGGUAUGGAAUUUCAAUUCUGGCAUUAUCAGAAUGGCAUCUUACUGGAUCUGGAAUACAAGACAGUGACAAUGUCUUUGCUAUUAUUGUGGAGACAAGAAACACCCAGAGCAUAUUGGCUUCAUUUCCGUAGCAUCUGAAACUAUUGCAAGCUUUAUCAGCUUCAAGUCAAUUAGUAGAACUGUCACUUUUAGGAACAAUGAGAAUGUGUUUAAUUAUGCUUCCCAGAAGGAGGAAUGAGGCAAAAGAUUUAUUCUAUACAGAGUUGUAAACAACUGUGGAUUCAUUGCACAGAGGUAAUAAAUCCUGAACAUUGGUGACUUUAACGCUCAUGUUGGUAACAACUAGGAAGGCUAGGAAAAUGUCUUGGGCAAAUUUGGUAUUGGAGAGAUAAUUGACAAUGGCCUGUGCCUCUUAUCAUUUAUAGAAGUAAAUGAGCUAAUGAUUGGAAACAUCCAAUCAGCACCAUUUAAAACCUCGGUUAAAAUGGCCUUCACCCAGUAGAAACAAUACAUCAGUACUCAACUAUUUCUAAAUUUCUAAAGCUGUUUCCAAACAUCACUCAUGGACAUCUGGUCAACAAGAGGCAUCUACCACAUUCUACUGCAGUCCUAUUAUUUUGAUUAAUAUAAACUGCUCAUAAUGUAGCCACACCAAUUGUUAUGGAAGAGUGAAAUUACAAGAACUUACUUGCCAACAAGGAUUCCACCUAAUUUGUGUCACCAUUUUUCAUGUGGAUGAUGAAAAUGAUUGAGGUGCAAUUGUCAGAAAUAAUUAACAAGCAUGCCCACAAAAUCUAUCCCAUUGGAAGACACUGAAUCCAACCAUAGAUUUUGGAUGAAUGAAAACUCUGCAAACUCUGCAAACUCUGAAGAUUUAACUCUGUGCUGAUCACUUAAUUAGCAAAUUGACACCUGCUUCAAAACAAAAUGAACUGUCCGUUCAAAUUGUAUUGCAAAAGAACUUGAAGAACUUAUAUAUUGCUGAGAACAUCACAACCUCUGCACUUAUUAUGUUGCCUCAGCAGUAAAUUUCAACAUGAAUGAUGCCAGAAAAGCAGACAGAUUUGCGAGCUCCAGAAUUGAGUGACUGAAUCAUUUAUAUAGUACUUCCAGAUUCUUUACAACUGCCCUGUUCUGAGGCAUUCCAGUAGAGCCACCAAUUCUUGACAGCUCAGAUGGAACAAUUGAAUAAUGCAACUCCAGAAUCUCUGAAGCUACCAUCCAUCAGUUAAAAAGAGGGAAAGCUAGUGACACAGAUAAAGUCACUGCAGAAGCAAUAAACACUGCUUGUGAUACACUAAUCUGUCAGCUCCAUUUAUUCCUUCAAAUUAUGUGAGAGUUUGAGGAAAUACUUCAUUUGUGGAAACAGGCAAUAUUUCCAAUUUUCAAGAAAGGCAAUCAGGAGUACAAGAAUUGAUGUGGGAUUAGUUAGUUGUCGGUCAAGGUAUUUAUCAAAGGCUUCAGAAAAGAUGGAAACAAAUAGCCCAAGAACAGGAGUCUAAUUUCAGGCUUGGAAGAGGAUGCUGUGACCAAAUAUUUGUAUUAUGACAACUGCCUGAUGAAUGCAUCAACUGUGGAAAGAGGCUUUUUUUUUUGCUGUUUAUUGAUUUUGCAGUGGUGUCUAUUCAGGCAGUGUUACAGAAGGCUAAGGUGAGCCUGCUACAGCAGAUACAUGAGGAAUCAUGAAGUUUUGUGUCAAUGGAGAAACAUCCAGAACCUUCCAGCAUGUAAUAGCAAUAGCACUUAGACUUAUAUACUGUUUCAUAGUGCUUUACUGCCCUCUCAAAG